AUACUUACCUGGCAGGGGAGAUACCAUGAUCACGAAGGUGGUUUUCCCAUGAAUUCUAUGUGUUGCUUUUCCCUAGCUCUGGAGUUCCGUAGUUCUUGUUGGUUAUUGAACUUUGUCUUCUGAUCUUCUGUGGGAGGGGCCUAUUGCAGUGAUUCUCA
rnacentral:snRNA from 13 species